rnacentral:rRNA from 1 species
UACAGAGGUCCCGAGCGUUGUUCGGAUUCACUGGGCGUAAAGGGUGCGCAGGUGGGUUUGCAAGUUCGAUGUGAAAGCCCCGGGCUUAACCCGGGAAAGACAUUGGAUACUGCAGAUCUGGAGGAUCGGAGGGGGGACUGGAAUUCUUGGUGUAGCAGUGAAAUGCGUAGAUAUCAAGAGGAACACCAGUGGCGAAGGCGAGUCCCUGGACGAUACCUGACACUGAGGCACGAAAGCCGGGGGAGCAAACAGG